UUUGAGAGACAUUUUUUAAUGGCACUUUUUAGGGAUUAUGGCUGAAGUCCGGCCGUGGCAUUUGAUGUUGCUCAGGUCCCUUGAUGCCGAGAGUCUUCAAGCUGAUGUGAGUUGCAUCUUUUAAAACACCGACCGAAGGUUCACGCUUGUCACUUAAGCACCGGGGAGGUGGGAGCAGGCAGAUCUCUUGGGCCUACUGGCCAGCAAGCCCAGUCUAAUGCUGGGUGAACCUGAAGCCAGUCCCCAGCUCACAAAAUAAGGUGGACAGCA
rnacentral:lncRNA from 1 species